rnacentral:rRNA from 1 species
UCUGACGGAGCAACGCCGCGUGAGUGAUGAAGGUCUUCGGAUUGUAAAGCUCUGUUAAUCGGGACGAAAGAGCCUAGUGUGAAUAAUGCUAGGAAGUGACGGUACCGGAAUAGAAAGCCACGGCUAACUACGUGCCAGCAGCCGCGGUAAU